UAUAGAACAGAGAGUUUAACUGGGGUAGUUUUUUUGUAAAAUCUGAGGUUGUAAAAGGCAUGUAAAGUGGGGUUAGGUCCUUUAGAUAAGGAUAAUUUGAGUGAGUUACUUUAGGGAUAACAGCGUAAUAGUCCUAGGGAGAUCGUAUCUAUGGGAUUGAUUGCGACCUCGAUGUUGAAUUAAAAGAUCAGUGUAGAGCAGGAGCUACAGGGUGAGGGUUUGUUCAACCUUUAAAUUUUUACAUGAUCUGA
rnacentral:rRNA from 1 species